UCAGACGUGAAUACCCGCUGAACUUAAAGCCAUAU
rnacentral:rRNA from 1 species